AAUGCUUGUUUUGUUGUCGUAGGGCUGGGAGGAGGACCUGCUGCCUGAGGAGAGGGAGGUUCCUCUGCUAAACCUCUACCUUACCACCAAGAGAGUGGAGGACAUCGCCCUGAGGCUCGUCUCCCUGCGCCAGGCCUUCACUGACGAGGCCAAGUUCAUCCGUACCUAUAACGACUUUGUGGACUACCUGAGUGACC